UGGCUCAAUGGUAGAGUGCUUGCCUCACAUGCAUGAGGCCCUGGGUUCGAUUCCUCAG
rfam:Dipodomys ordii contig_65442, whole genome shotgun sequence.